GGGCAUGUGGCGGAAUUGGCAGACGCGCCGGAUUUAGGUUCCGGUGGGGCAACCCGUGAAGGUUCGAGUCCUUUCUUGCCCA
rnacentral:tRNA from 1 species